GAGGUAUGAUUCUCGCUUUGGGUGCGAGAGGCCCCGGUGCGAGUCCCAGAGGAGCCCAGCCUGCCGUGAUCAGCUGUUGUUUGUUAGCCUGGUAAAUCCAGCGCGCAAGAACAAGAAUGGAGCGAAUGAAAGAAUCUUUCACAGGCAAAGCCGGCGCUUCCUCCCUCUCCUACCUUCUUCGGUUUCUCAAACUGCAGGAUGAGACCCCACCAGGCGGGGCCUUGGGCCCCGGGCCCGGGUUUAAGAACCCGGAAAUCAGCUCACCGCCAGCCACCUCCUGGAUCCAGGACUGAGUACUCUGGACAGCGCGCGACCGGC
rnacentral:lncRNA from 1 species